CACUCCGCCUGGGGAGUACGACCGCAAGGUUGAAACUCAAAGGAAUUGACGGGGGCCCGCACAAGCGGUGGAGCAUGUGGUUUAAUUCGAAGCAACGCGAAGAACCUUACCAGGUCUUGACAUCCUUUGACCACUCUGGAGACAGAGCUUUCCCUUCGGGGACAAAGUGACAGGUGGUGCAUGGUUGUCGUCAGCUCGUGUCGUGAGAUGUUGGGUUAAGUCCCGCAACGAGCGCAACCCUUGAUUUUAGUUGCCAGCAUUUAGUUGGGCACUCUAAAGUGACUGCCGGUGCAAGCCGGAGGAAGGUGGGGAUGACGUCAAAUCAUCAUGCCCCUUAUGACCUGGGCUACACACGUGCUACAAUGGAUAGUACAAAGGGUCGCGAAGCCGCGAGGUGGAGCUAAUCCCAUAAAACUAUUCUCAGUUCGGAUUGUAGGCUGCAACUCGCCUACAUGAAGCCGGAAUCGCUAGUAAUCGUGGAUCAGCAUGCCACGGUGAAUACGUUCCCGGGCCUUGUACACACCGCCCGUCACACCACGAGAGUUUGUAACACCCGAAGUCGGUAGGGUAACCUUUAUGGAGCCAGCCGCCGAAGGUGGGACAGAUAAUUGGGGUGAAGUCGUAACAAGGUAGCCGUAUCGGAAGGUGCGGCUGGAUCACCUCCUUU
rnacentral:rRNA from 1 species